rnacentral:misc_RNA from 1 species
AAGUCGUAACAAGGUUUCCGUAGGUGAACCUGCGGAAGGAUCAUUAUUGAAUAGUUUCGUGGUGCUGUGCUGGCCUUUUUGGAGGCAUGUGCACGCAUUGCAUCCUAUUAUCUUCUUGUGAACCAGUGUAGGCUCGUGUCCUUUGGUAGUUUGGUGCGCAAGUGCUGAGCGAAGAAGUGCGUGAGUCUAUGAUUUUAUAAACCUGUUUGUAUGUCGUAGAAUGUUCAUUUAUUGACUGCGAAGUCAGUAAAACUAUACAACUUUCAGCAACGGAUCUCUUGGCUCUC